UACGUAGGGGGCUAGCGCUGUCCGGAAUUAUUGGGCGUAAAGAGCUUGUAGGCGGUUUGUCGCGUCUGCCUGUGAAAAUCCGGGGGCUCAACCCCGGACUUGCAGUGGGUACGGGCAGACUAGAGUGUGGUAGGGGAGACUGGAAUUCCUGGUGUAGCGGUGAAAUGCGCAGAUAUCAGGAGGAACACCGAUGGGCGAAGGCAGGUCUCUGGGCCACUACUGACGCUGAGAAGGCGAAAGCAUGGGGAGCGAACAGG
rnacentral:rRNA from 1 species